rnacentral:rRNA from 1 species
AUGUGGGAGGAAUGCUUGCCUCAUAUUGAAUUUGCUUAUAAUCGUUCAUUGCAUUCUACUACUAAGAUGUGCCCUUUUGAAGUUGUGUAUGGUUUCCUACCUCGUGCACCUAUUGAUUUGUUGCCUCUUCCAUCUUCGGAGAAGGUUAAUUUUGAUGCUAAACAACGUGCUGAAUUGAUUUUAAAAAUGCAUGAGUUAACUAAGGAAAACAUUGAGCGCAUGAAUGCUAAAUAUAAACUUGCUGGAGAUAAAGGUAGAAAACAUGUUGUGUUUGCACCUGGAGAUCUUGUUUGGUUACAUUUGCGUAAGGAUAGAUUUCCUGAUUUGCGCAAAUCAAAGUUAAUGCCACGUGCUGAUGGUCCCUUUAAGGUGUUAGAGAAAAUAAAUGAUAAUGCAUAUAAACUUGAGCUGCCUGCAGAUUUUGGGGUUAGUCCCACUUUUAACAUUGCAGAUUUGAAGCCUUAUUUGGGUGAGGAAGAUGAACUUCCGUCGAGGACGACUUCAUUUCAAGAAGGGGAGGAUGAUGAGGACAUCAAUACAAUUGUUACACCCACAGCCCCUGCUGCUAUACAUACUGGACCAAUUACUAGAGCUCGUGCACGCCAACUAAAUUAUCAGGAAACAGACCCUCGUGGUCAGGUUGAUCGUGCUCCGGCGUGGUCAAUAACCUCUCGGAGUUGGUUUAGCGAUUGCUAA